GUCGCGAUGGCGGAGUGGUUAACGCGUUAGACUUGAAUAUAGAUACAUAUUAUAUGUAUCUACGGUAGAGAUCUAAUCACUUCGGUGGCGUAGGUUCGAAUCCUGCUCGCGACG